rnacentral:rRNA from 1 species
UACGUAGGGGGCAAGCGUUGUCCGGAUUUAUUGGGCGUAAAGAGCGUGUAGGCGGCCAGGUAGGUCUGCUGUGAAAACUCGAGGCUCAACCUCGAGACGCCGGCGGAAACCAUCUGGCUAGAGUCCGGAAGAGGAGAGUGGAAUUCCCGGUGUAGCGGUGAAAUGCGCAGAUAUCGGGAAGAACACCCGUGGCGAAGGCGGCUCUCUGGAACGGUACUGACGCUGAGACGCGAAAGCGUGGGGAGCGAACAGG